AUAGCGUGUAUAGUGUUCCAAUGACGACACGUCACCCAACAUUGGAACGACGCCACAAUCGAAAGGAGUAAGGUGAAUCGGCAAUUUUUUACGGGUUCCAGAAAAUGAUGCAUUGAAUCGACACAACCCUUAAUACAACGCUUCUUGAACACAAAGGGUAUAUAUAUACCCUAUUCUAUCCAUUUAGUAUCAGUUUGUCUCGACUAACUUUUAGUUUGUGGUAGGCAUUCUCUCUUCCUCAUCGUUUAUUAUCAUCGUUAAUGUUUUCUUUAACAGGAUCUAUAUCUUUAUUGGGUUUGUGAUUUUGUGGUUUGAGACUCAUUCAAAUUUCAAGCGUGGUUUGUGAUUUUUUUUCUCUCGCCAACAUUAGAUUUACACAGGUUAGGGUUGGCCGAGUUCCACCACCGCUUCCACGUUUUCAAUCAAGGUUAGUUUGCAUAUUUAAUAUUUCAAAUGUUUGAUAUGUUCUUUGCAUUGGAACCAAAAACACAAAGAUAAAAUUUUCUUCUUGUCCCUCUCUUCACUUCGUGAAAACCUCACAAAAAAAUUCAAUGGAGAUUCAUAUGAAUCGCCUCACCAUCUUACUCCCAUAUUCCCCCAAUUUUGUAAUAAGAUCUCCUCUAACAUACCCUUUCUUCUUCAAACGUACUCAACCACUUCCUAUGGACUUCAUUACUCUUCCUUCUUCAUCACCGCAACCAGAUCUCCUCUUCCGCUUCAUCUAACUUCGCAUCCUUUCAUACGACGGCACAAUGGAAAGGGAUUAAGUUGAACCGGCAAUUUUUUUCCAGUUCCAGCAAAAGAAUGCAUUGAAUCGAUGCAACCUUUCAUACGCUUCAUGAACACAAAGGGUAUAUAUAUAACCUUUCUCUCCGUUCAUGAUCAGUCUGUCUUGAUUUCUUUUCAGUCUGCCAUACACAUUCUCUCUUUGUCAUCGUUUAUUAUCAUCGCUAAUGUUUUAUUCAAGGUCUUAUGUAAGAUGCUUCAAAGCGUGGGGCAGUUCAAGCCCGAUGAUGAAAGAAAUUCUUCAGAUUACAUGGUCUCAAGGGUUGGUGUUGUUGCAGUUUCAGGAUGGAAUUGGAAGGACCCUUUAGGUGAUUUAAUGACUUGCGGCUUUAACACUAUUCUUCAACCCUUUCUUUUUAUCAAAAUCUCCCUUUUGUUCGAAUCAUUUGGUGCCCUAAUUUCCUGCUUUCGUAGUCUGCCACAGGUUCUCCCCUCUUAUAUUUUGUGAUUUUUCUUAAAUUUUGUAAGUCAAUUUCUGAUUAUGUAGGGUUUUAUUGUGUGGAUUGCAUUGAAUAUCGCAAGUUCUUUCGAUUGCAUUAAGUUCCUAAUUAUUACCUAUGCCGACCAUCAAGUAAAACCAAAUUGCAUCUCUAUAAUGAUAUUAUGUUCUAUUUCCAUGAUAAUUUUUUUACGUCUCAUGAGGAACUCUUACUAUCUUUCUAUGUUACUUAAAAACUCCUACUAAUAUGAUAUUUUAUCUUUCCUUUGUCUUUAUAAGCAAUUAAGAAGUUAGUAGUUUAUGAUGCUUUAAGAUGCUUUUUCUGUUUAACUUAUCAGAUGGUAGUGAUAGUUUUAAUUGAGGUCUUAGAAUAAUGAAAAAGCAAUUUGGCAUGGGAUUCAUGUGAAUAAGGUAGUCUGGUUGUAAGUUCUUGAGUGAAUUACUUGGAUGAGUUUUAUUAAUGUUAUCAGUCAACAACCAACAAUGAUGUCUUUGGUUGGAAAGAUUAAGUUAAUCAUAUUCAUUAAACCCGGCUGUUUUGAUCUCUGAUGCCAAGUACUUUCACCUUAGUAUCUAGAAUUUGUUUUAAUUACUGGCUUGCGAUUUGAAAGUUGUUUAUAUUUGUGUUUUUUUUUUGUUGCUCUUAUAUUACAAACUUUUUUUGAUUUUGAAUAGAAAAUGCAAUGAAUGUUGGUUUGUUUCAAGAAAUAUAAGCAUUUCAUAUUGACUUUCAAAACUGUUUGAAUGUCGAACCUUAGAGGUAUCAUAUUGUCAUUAAAAUCAUGGUUAAUUAAUUUAACAAAUAUUCUAAUUCAAAGUCGAUGCAAAAAGUAUUCAAGUCUCAGCUACUCAUAUGUAAUGCCAGAUUACUUAUAUGUAUUGUCACGUAAAUUUUAUGAAACCAAUGUUGGAAAAAGUAAUAUAUUUGUCAAGUUUUCUCAAUGUUUAAUAUUUUAAUAUAUCACGCCUAAAUAAACUAUGUGAAUGAGAAUAAAAGCUAUACCCUUUUGUUUAUUGUUUAUUUCCAUUUUGGACCGAAUGAACUGUUUGAAAGAGUAAAUGGUUAUUAUACCUUUUUUUCUAAAACAUAUAGGUAAAUUUCUUCUUUUGAUUUUUGUAAUAACACCAUAACAACAUGUGUUUGAGUUGGCGUGUGUUAAUUUUUUUUAUGAAGUGCUUAAUGGAUUAAAAAGAUGAAUCAGUUCAAACUUCAGCUCAUCAAGAGGAGAUAUUACGGAUAUCCGACAUCCCAUUUGGGGGAUAUGUUAUUUUUUUACAGAUGUUGGCUUGAUAAAUACAGGAUUAGUUUUGACUAAUUUGUCGGGGUGCUUUGGGUAUUUCAAUGACCAGUAAUGACAUCUUGAGUGUUUGAUUU